rnacentral:rRNA from 1 species
GGGCAAUCGGCAGCUUACACAUGCAGUCGAGGGGUAUAUGUCUUCGGAUAUAGAGACCGGCGCACGGGUGCGUAACGCGUAUGCAAUCUGCCUUUCACAGAGGGAUAGCCCAGAGAAAUUUGGAUUAAUACCUCAUAGUAUUACGAUAAGGCAUCUUAUUGUAAUUAAAGUCACAACGGUGAAAGAUGAGCAUGCGUCCCAUUAGCUUGUUGGUAAGGUAACGGCUUACCAAGGCUACGAUGGGUAGGGGUCCUGAGAGGGAGAUCCCCCACACUGGUACUGAGACACGGACCAGACUCCUACGGGAGGCAGCAGUGAGGAAUAUUGGUCAAUGGACGCAAGUCUGAACCAGCCAUGCCGCGUGCAGGAUGACGGUCCUAUGGAUUGUAAACUGCUUUUGUACGAGAAGAAACACUCCGACGUGUCGGAGCUUGACGGUAUCGUAAGAAUAAGGAUCGGCUAACUCCGUGCCAGCAGCCGCGGUAAUACGGAGGAUCCAAGCGUUAUCCGGAAUCAUUGGGUUUAAAGGGUCCGUAGGCGGUUUAGUAAGUCAGUGGUGAAAGCCCAUCGCUCAACGGUGGAACGGCCAUUGAUACUGCUGAACUUGAAUUACUGGGAAGUAACUAGAAUAUGUAGUGUAGCGGUGAAAUGCUUAGAUAUUACAUGGAAUACCAAUUGCGAAGGCAGGUUACUACCAGUUUAUUGACGCUGAUGGACGAAAGCGUGGGGAGCGAACAGGAUUAGAUACCCUGGUAGUCCACGCCGUAAACGAUGGAUACUAGCUGUUGGGGGCAACUUCAGUGGCUAAGCGAAAGUGAUAAGUAUCCCACCUGGGGAGUACGAACGCAAGUUUGAAACUCAAAGGAAUUGACGGGGGCCCGCACAAGCGGUGGAGCAUGUGGUUUAAUUCGAUGAUACGCGAGGAACCUUACCAAGGCUUAAAUGCAGACUGACCGAUUUGGAAACAGAUCUUUCGCAGACAGUUUACAGUGCUGCAUGGUGUCGUCAGCUCGUGCCGUGAGUGUCAGUAGUCUAUACGAGCGCACCCUGUGUAGUGCAGCGAGUAGUGUCGGGACUCUACAGACUGCAGUGCACUGUGAGAGGUGGGGGAUGACGUCAUCAUCACGUCUAACGCUGGCUAACCACUGCUACAAUGACGUUACAAGAGACAGCCAUGGGUACUGAGCGAAUCUUUAAGCGGCUCAAGGUCGGAUCGGGAGAUGA